UACAGAGGCCACAAGCGUUAGUCGGAAUCACUGGGCUUAAAGGGUGCGUAGGCGGCUCGACAAGUGCUUUGUGAAAUCCCGGGGCUCAAUCCCGGAACAGCAGGGCAUACUUUCGAGCUUGAGGCAGGUAGGGGUCGCGAGAACAGUAGGUGGAGCGGUGAAAUGCGUAGAUAUCUACUGGAAUGCCGAUGGUGAAGACGCGCGACUGGGCCUGUCCUGACGCUGAGGCACGAAAGCGUGGGGAGCAAACAGG
rnacentral:rRNA from 1 species